GACGAACGCUGGCGGCGUGCUUAACACAUGCAAGUCGAACGAUGAAGCAGAGAAACGCGCACUUCGGUUCAAAUUUCACUUCGGAUUAGUGGCAGACGGGUGAGUAACGCGUGAGCAACCUACCUCUUACAAAGGGAUAGCCUCGGGAAACCGUGAUUAAUACCAUAUGACACAUUCAUAAGGCAUCUUAAGAAUGUUAAAGCUACGGCGGUAAGAGAUGGGCUCGCGUCCCAUUAGCUAGUUGGUGAGGUAACGGCCCACCAAGGCGACGAUGGGUAACCGGCCUGAGAGGGUGAACGGUCACAUUGGAACUGAGACACGGUCCAAACUCCUACGGGAGGCAGCAGUGGGGAAUAUUGCACAAUGGAGGGAACUCUGAUGCAGCGACGCCGCGUGGGCGAUGAAGGAAUUCGUUUCGUAAAGCUCUGUUCUAUGGGAAGAAAAGGACUGUACCAUAGGAGAAAGCCCCGGCUAAAUACGUG
rnacentral:rRNA from 1 species